AUCACCCUGCCCCUCCACAAACAGCUACAGUGAGUCUGUCUAACCCCCAACACAGAUCACCCUGCCCCUCUAAACAGCUACAGUGUGUCUGUCUAACCCCAGAUCACUCUAGCCCUGCCCCUCCACAACAGCUACAGUGAGUCUCUCUUCUAACCCCCAAGAUCACCCUGCCCUCCUAAAAAGCUACAGUGAGUCUGUCUAACCCCCACAGAUCACCUGCCCCUCUAAGCAGCUACAGUGAGUCGUCUAAACCCCCACAGAUCACCCUGCCCCCACAACAGCUACAGUGAGUCGUCUACCCCCACGAUCACCCUGCCCCUCUAAGCAGCAGAGUCCAGUUACCCCCCCUUUCAGUUAUCCCACCUGGGUCAUGUUCAUUAGGGUCGCAACACCAAAGAAAACAUCCUGAAACAGGGAUGGACGACCUGCAGUUGUCCAAUAAGAAACAAGUUUUUUUUUUUGUUUUACAUUUCAUAAUGUUACAAAAAUGUUCUGUUGCAGAUUACUGUACUGUCAGCAAGACGUACUCUCAGAUUACGGUACGUUCAACAAGACACGCUCUCAGAUUACUGUCAACAAGACGUACUCUCAGAUAACUGUACUGUCAACAAGAACGCUCUCAGAUUACUUACUGUACCAAGACGUACACUCAGAUUACUGUACUGUCAGCAAGACGUAACUCUCAGAUUACUGUACUGUCCAGCAGGUACUCUCAGCAAGACGUACUCUCAGAUUACUGUACUGUCAACAAGACACGCUCUCAGAUUACUGUACUGUCAGCAAGACACGCUCUCAAAUAACUGUACUGUCAACAGACACGCUCUCAGAUUACUGUACUGUCAACAAGACACGCUCUCAGAUUACUGUACUGUCAGCAAGACGCUCUCAGUACUGUAACUGUCAGCAAGACACGCUGUCAGAUUACUGUACUGUCAACAAGACAUACUCUCAGAUUACGUACUGUCAACAAGACACACUCUCAGAUUACUGUACUGUCAGCAAGACACACCUCUCAGAUUACUGUACUGUCAGCAAGACACGCUCUCAGAUUACUGUCAGCAAGACGCGCUCUCAGAUUACUGUCAGCAAGACGCGCUCUCAGAUUACUGUACUGUCAGCAAGACGCGCUCUCAGAUUACUGUACUGUCAGCAAGACGCGCUCCAGAUUACUGUACUGUCAGCAAGACACACUCUCAGAUUACUGUACUGUCAGCAAGACACGCUCUCAGAUUACUGUACUGUCAACAACACGCUCUCAGAUUACUGUACUGUCAGCAAGACACGCUCUCAGAUUACUGUACUGUCAACAAGACGCGCUCCUCAGAUUACUGUCAGCGCAAGACAUACCUCAGAUUACUGUACUGUCAACAAGACACACUCUCAGAUUACUGUACUGUCACAAGACACGCUCUCGAAUUACUGUACUGUCAGCAAGACACCUCUCAGAUUACUGUACUGUCAGCAGAUGUAGCUCCAGAUUACUGUACUGUCAACACCCUCUCAGAUUACUGUACUGUCAACAAGACACGCUCUCAAUUACUGACUGUCAGCAAGACACACUCUCAGAUUACUGUACUGUCAGCAAGAUGUACUCUCAGAUUACUGUACUGUCAACAAGACACGCUCUCAGAUUACUGUCAGCAAGACAUACUCUCAGAUUACUGUACUGUCAACAAGACACGCUCUCAGAUUACUGUACUGUCAGCAAGACACGCUCUCAGAUUACUGUACUGUCAACAAGACACGCUCUCAGAUUACGGUACUGUCACAGACCCGCUCUCAGAUUACUGUACUGUCAGCA
rnacentral:lncRNA from 1 species